CGGCGGACUACGUUUUUGGACUCCGGCGCGACCGGAAAGACUCUGUCCCGGCCGAGAGACUGCGGAGGGCGGGCCCGGCCUGGGGGGAGGCACUUGUCCACCCCGCCCCUGGUGACACCGAGGACGCGGCGUCUGGUCCAGGUCUCCGCCCCUGCGCCACCUGAGGCUCUCCCAUGGCCCAGCAGAGAGCUCUGCCCCAGAGCAAGGAGACACUGUUGCAGUGUUACAACAAGCGGCUGAAGGAUGACAUCAAGUCCAUCAUGGACAACUUCACUGAGAUCAUCAAGACCACCAAGAUUGAGGAUGAGACACAGGUGUCACGGGCAACUCAAGGUGAACAGGACAAUUACGAGAUGCACGUGCAGCCACCAACAUCGUGAGUCUGAGCCGGUGAGUCCCUGAUGAAGCUAGUGUCCGACCUUAAGCAGUUCCUGAUCCUCAACGAUGUCCCCUCUGUGAACGAGACCAUCGACCAGCGCAACCAGCAGCUGUGCGCGCUGCAGGAGGAGCGCGACCAGAAGCUCAUCAUGUUGCGGGAUGAGAUCUCCAUUGACCUCUACGAGCUGGAGGAGGAGUAUUACUCAUCCAGGUACAAAUAGAGCUGGACUCCCCGUGCAGAGUGGGAGCCUGCCUACCUGGGCCUGGCCAGCAGGCAAGGCUGGCCUGACUCUGAAGGGCCUUCUGCUUUUUCAAAUCCUUGCUGGCAGUGGAGUUGUGCCUGGGUUUCAGAGCAGAGCUCCUGGCCAGAACAUUUGAUCUACAGAUAGUUCACAAACGUCUGCUGGGGCCCUGGGCCUUUCCCACAGUGCAGUGUGAUGAAAGCCACAGGACUCAUACCAGUUGCAUAGGCCAAGUCUGGAGAAGGGAGGGCCUCGCCGGCAUCCCCUGCAGGGCCUCUUGCUGAGAGCAUCCCUCCUCAGGCAGUGCCUCUGGGCCAGUGCUGUGCUGUUAGCUUCUGAAUCCAUAUUCAGAGAUUUUGGUCAAGGCUGGGCCAGCCCCUCCUGGGCACUCAGGUCCAUACCUAUGUCCAGGGCAUCAAGGAUGCAAUUCCAUGUGUAUGUCACCAAAUCCCAGUGUGGAGGCCGGGACAGUCAUGGGACUGUCGGGGAUGAAGCCCUGGCAGGGAAUGGCCUUGAAAGCUGUUGGAGUUCUAAUUUCUGACCUUCUCAGCCUUAUCCACUGAGCUGGAGGCAGCCUAUUUGCCAGGCCCAUGCUGGGCCCCAGGGAUGCAGAAGGGUCAAAACCCAUCAUCCUGACCCUCUUGGGGCCACAUAAGAAGCCAGAAGCCUGAAACCUUUUGAGCUGGCAGUACCUGAGAAAUCAGAGUCCACGUGUUUUUUUACCUAGGGGGAAUCUUAGGCUGGAGACAGGAAGGCCUUCCUCUCUGACCCCAUUAGCUUAGAAAAUCAAGAUUCAGUCCAGCAGACACAAAGUCCGUGUCAUCUUGUGCCUUCUCCUGGACAAACUUUUCCUUCCUAGUGGUGGAUUGAAAAUGCCCCUUUCUGCCCAAUGGCCACGCUGGGAGCCACAGAUGUCUAGAGCCAGCGUGGCCUGGGGCUUCGUUUUCCUGCCCUGGGCUCAGUGGCACUGCCAGCUGCAGCAGUUCUAGAGUUUUCCAGGUCGUUGUGGGUGGAGUCUUUGGUCCCCAAUACUCAUUAACUCAGCAGACAGGAGACAGCAUUUCCUACAUCAGCCAGGUGGCCUCCGGCAGGCGUUCCCACCUCUAACACGGGGAAUCCUCUCGGCAGCCAGGAUGCAGGUGAAGGACCACAGCUAGCCCUUCCCAUGCCUGCAGCUGUGACGGUCCACACCUGCCUCCUACCUGCAGGCAGGGGCCCUGGCUUUCCUGCGUCCUGCCUCCCUUGCUCUUGCCCUUGUUCAGUCUCAGAACCGUCCUGGGCACAGAGUAGCAUCCUGAGGAGAGUCAGAGCCAGAAAGAGCAAAGAACCAGUGGCGGAAACAGAGGUGCAGCUCAUGCGGGGUGGGGCGGGGAGGGGAGCGCCCUUUGUGGCACCAGCAGGCAGGGGCAGAGGAAACUCUUCCCAGCCCUGGCUGCUUAAAGGUGAUGUACAGACCAGGGGGCAACUGCCUCUGCCACAGGAGCUGUGUAAGGCCACCAGGGGGCACUGGUGUGGACAGGAUGCCUGCGGGAGGGGACACAGGCUGGCCUGGAAGCCCCUGUAGGUGAAGCGGAGAGACUGUUGGGGAAGGCAUGGGAAGCCUGGCACAUCUGUCCUGGGUUUGCAUCCUACUCUGCUGCAGGGUGGUGGACAGGCUCCCUCCCUCCCUACCCCAAGGCAAGGCAGGCUGAAUUGUGGCCUCACAGCUGCUUUGUCCAGGGGCCCUCAGGGAUAGUGGCUGCCCCAGGAGCAUCAGCACCAGUUUUGCCUCAGCUGUGGAGCCAGCAGUCCCAGGUCAUGUAGGGAGUCUAUGCCCCAAAUACUGACUGCUAAAUGCAGGUGCUGACAACUUAGCACAUCUGUUCCCAGAGAACAUAAAGUUUACAUAUUGGGCCAGGCGUGGUGUCUCACAUUUGUAAUCCCAGUACUUUGGGAGGCUGAAGUAGGUGUACUCUAGCCUGGUCGACAGAGCAGGACUCUGUCUUAAAAAUAAAUAAAAUAAAAUAUGAAUACAUAAAUAUUAGCCAUGUCCCUAUGUUGAUCUGCCAAUAACA